UACGUAGGGUGCAAGCGUUGUCCGGAAUUAUUGGGCGUAAAGAGCUCGUAGGCGGUUUGUCGCGUCUGCCGUGAAAGUCCGGGGCUCAACUCCGGAUCUGCGGUGGGUACGGGCAGACUAGAGUGAUGUAGGGGAGACUGGAAUUCCUGGUGUAGCGGUGGAAUGCGCAGAUAUCAGGAGGAACACCGAUGGCGAAGGCAGGUCUCUGGGCCGCAACUGACGCUGAGGAGCGAAAGCAUGGGGAGCGAACAGG
rnacentral:rRNA from 1 species